UGGGAAGGACGGCCUUCCCGCUCGUCAGCAUAUCAGCCGCGGGGACGACCCUG
rnacentral:ncRNA from 1 species